CGAAUAACUGAUCUGCCACCUUUUUAAACGGGCUGGGGGGGGGGGGGGGUUCUACGUGCGCGUCAUUUUAAAGGGUGAGGGAAGAGAGAGAAGGUUGACAUUUUGUUCCAGGCAGGAGGAUGACAUUUUGUUCCAGGCAGGAUGCCAAUACAGUAAAACAAGCCACCUUGGAAUAUGAGGUGCAAUUUCAUUUGAUCUUCUCUGAUCAAGCCAUAUCUUGGAAGAGGACAUUAAUAUUCACUCUGUGAAAAAGAUGUUUAUUUGGGCAUGUCUCUGUUGAAGCACCAUUAUGGUUCUAUAUAGAAGCCACAAAGAAGCCUUUUAGAAGCCUUUUUAUCCAGAGACGGUUCAAAAGAACCGUUUAGAAGCCUUAUUAUCCAGAGAAGGUUCCAAAGAACCGUUUAGAAGCCUUUUUAUCCAGAGAAGGUUCCAAAAAAGCCUUUAGAAGCAUUUUUAUCCAGAGAAGGUUCCAAAGAACCGUUUAGAAGCCUUUUUAUCCAGAGAAGGUUCCAAAGAACCGUUUAGAAGCCUUUUUAUCCAGAGAAGGUUCCAAGGAACCAAAAGCCUUUAGAAGCCCUCUUGGAUGAAAAGGGUUACAUGUACCUGUACCUGGAGAAUCUAUCCUGAGUGCCAGGCUGAUAGCACUCUUUUGCCAACUCCUACGGUGUGACACAACAGGCAACAGAGCACAAACAACCUGGCACCCAGGCUAGGAGAAUCAAGAAUCAAGAGUCAAGAUGAAGAACCUUAACAGAGAUGAACAUUUGUUGCCAUGGGAACUCUGAAGAAUUAUCCCAGAUCCUUUUAAGAAUCACAUUGGUAAUAACCUAGUGCUGAACAUGGCUGAAUACAAUGACCUCAGAUUCGCCUUUAUGUCCAGUUUUCAUAAUAAUCAGUUUAAUUUCAAAUAGAUGUU